UACAGAGGGUGCGAGCGUUGUCCGGAAUCACUGGGCGUAAAGGGCGCGUAGGUGGCGCUCCAAGUCCGUGGUGAAAGCUCGAUGCUUAACAUCGAGUCGGCCACGGAUACUGGGGGGCUCGAGCACUGUAGGGGCAGAUGGAAUUCCGGGUGUAGCGGUGGAAUGCGUAGAGAUCCGGAAGAACACCGGUGGCGAAGGCGGUCUGCUGGGCAGUUGCUGACACUGAGGCGCGACAGCGUGGGGAGCAAACAGG
rnacentral:rRNA from 1 species